GAUGAACGCUGGCGGCGUGCCUAACACAUGCAAGUCGAGCGGAGAUAUAUUUCUGGAGAGCUUCGGCAGGAAGGGAAUAUAUUUUAGCGGCGGACGGGUGAGUAAAGCGUGGGCAAUCUGCCCUCUGCACAGGGAUAACUGAGAGAAAUGUCAACUAAUACCUGAUAAGCUUCCGGGUUGGCAUCGACCCGGGAGAAAAGAUUUAUCGGCAGAGGAGGAGCCCGCGUCUGAUUAGCUAGUUGGUGGGGUAAGGGCCUACCAAGGCGACGAUCAGUAGCCGGCCUGAGAGGGUGAACGGCCACAUUGGGACUGAGACACGGCCCAAACUCCUACGGGAGGCAGCAGUGGGGAAUAUUGCACAAUGGGGGAAACCCUGAUGCAGCAACGCCGCGUGAAGGAAGAAGGGUUUCGGCUCGUAAACUUCUAUCGACAGGGAAGAAAGAAAUGACGGUACCUGAAUAAGAAGCCCCGGCUAACUACGUGCCAGCCGCCGC
rnacentral:rRNA from 1 species